GGAUAGCUUGGUUGGUAGAGCACGAGACUCUUAAUCUCAAGGUCAUGGGUUCAAGCCCCAUGAUGGGCA